CCGCACUGUUCGUAAUCUGGUUCACUCUUCAGUAUGAACACGGGUUCCAUUCCAGUGCUAGAUUGAUGCUCCGGUGAGGCAGGGGAGCAGAUCCUGUUUGUGUUUGCUCCCUGUUCACUCUCUGGAAACACUU